AUUGAACGCUGGCGGCAGGCCUAACACAUGCAAGUCGAGCGCGCGGCGGACGGGUUAGUAUUGUCUGGGAAACUGCCUGAUGGAGGGGGAUAACUACUGGAAACGGUAGCUAAUACCCCAUACCAUCAGAUGUGCCCAUAUGGGAUUAGCUAGUAGGUGGGGUAACGGCUCACCUAGGCGACGAUCCCUAGCUGGUCUGAGAGGAUGACCAGCCACACUGGAACUGAGACACGGUCCAGACUCCUACGGGAGGCAGCAGUGGGGAAUAUUGCACAAUGGGCGCAAGCCUGAUGCAGCCAUGCCGCGUGUGUGAAGAAGGCCUUCGGGUUGUAAAGCACUUUCAGCGGGGAGGCGGUACCCGCAGAAGAAGCACCGGCUAACUCCGUGCCAGCAGCCGCGGUAAUUG
rnacentral:rRNA from 1 species